rnacentral:pre_miRNA from 1 species
ACAACAACAUUUGGACCGUCGGUCUACCGAGCAAUAUCACCCAAUCGGUGGAAGACCUUUCUCUUCGUCGUUUAAG